UACGGAGGGUGCAAGCGUUAUCCGGAUUCACUGGGUUUAAAGGGUGCGCAGGCGGAUUAUUAAGUCAGUGGUGAAAUCUGUAGGCUUAACCUACAAACUGCCAUUGAUACUAUUGAUCUUGAAUGUCGCUGAGGAUAGCGGAAUGGGACAUGUAGCGGUGAAAUGCAUAGAUAUGUCCCAGAACACCGAUUGCGAAGGCAGCUAUCUAAAGGAAUAUUGACGCUGAGGCACGAAAGCGUGGGUAGCGAAC
rnacentral:rRNA from 1 species